UGUGAAUUUGUUUGUGGUAACACAAUUAAUAAAUGGAAUAAUUUUGACUGUGUUGAAUGUUUGGUCUCCAAGGUAAAGGUCAUAAAAGGUCAACAUCUAUUGGAUUCUAAGACAUAUGACAUAUAUUAUCCUGUAACAUAAUAACUAAGUAUGACAGAUGGUGCAAACUAUUCUUUAUUAGAACCCUAUUAACCCAAACAAUAAUUUGCAUCUUUUUUUUUUACUGAAUUUUAGCAACUUUAACU